rnacentral:lncRNA from 1 species
UUUUGUUUUUCCAGGUGGAAUAUGCGUUUCAAGUAUCCCCUGGAAUUACAUGAGGCUUGGUCCCUUGUUAAAGGAAAGCAGGUUACGAAGAUAUGGGGUUGGAGACAGGAUGCCUUCUCAGUAGCCAUGAAGUUGACCCUUGCUUGACUCAUAAAGAAAACUGGACCUGAGACUGCUUCUUAAUCUCAAAGCCCUUGGGCUUCAUUCCCUGUUUGUCUGCUCAGAUGUCCCCUCUUACACCAAAUUUCUACCAAGCUACCUGUUCCUUGGAGAUUCUGCUCGGAGGCCUGGGUCUCUCACCACAGAUGUCAAUAUGUGUUGGGCUGGUAGCCACCUCUCCUGGGUUCUGCCGCUAAACGUACUCCAGGUGGCCCAGCCUUCUCAAAUAUCACAGUUGACAAAGAAGUGGAUGUCUCUAGAGUGCAUCUAGGACCAUCUUUCAGCAUCCUAUUGUUGGAAAUGAAGUUGGGGACACCUGCUGAGACACAAAAGCAGCUGAAGUCUACCCAACCAUGGAUCGUGGCAGCUCAUGCUCACAAGGGCAUUUGGGGGUUAUGAUUACUCUAAUCCUGCACACCUGAGAGUCAGAAGAAGAAAAUUGAGGAGGAGAAAGACAUACCACGUGAUCGCUGCCUGGAGGCUGCCAUGUUGGACCACAAUCCUCUCACUGGAAGCCAAGAAGGGCACAGGAAGUUAGAGGCAAGAUGCCAUGAUUUUAGGCAGAUGCUACCCUGGAAGAAAGAGGAAGGCAGAAAAACUCCAAAAGCAUGACCCCAAAGCAACCAAGAAGAACACCAAAAUGAGUAAGUAAUUGAAGUUACUAAGAUUUUUACCUAUAUUACUCUGCUUGGGCUGUCAUAACAAAAUACCACAGAGUAGGUGGCUUAACGAACAGAAAUUUAUUUCUCAGGGUUCUGGAGGCUGGAAGACCCAGAUCAGGAUCCAGUAGGGUUCAGUUUCCGGUGAGAGCUCUCUUCCUGACUUGUGGGCGGCCAUUUGUCCUCAUAUACAGGAAAAGAAAGUGAUCUCUCUCUUCCUCUUCUUAUAACACCACCAAUCCUGCAGGAUCAGGGUCCCAACCUAUGAUCUCAUUUCAUCGUAAUUACCUCCUAAAGGUCCCAUCUCCAAAUGUUGUCACUAGGGGUAAGGGCUUCAACAUAUGAAUUUGGGACACAAUUAAGUCCAUGG